UCAAAUUCAAAUAUCAGAUUCCAAAAUUCCCAUUUACACUCCCUUUGAUUUUUCUCCCUAAAACGAAAACCCUAAAUACAUUCAGACCACCCAAACACCACUUGCAAUCUGCACCAUUUGCAGCACUCAUUCUCGAUUUGUGAAUUCUUCUCCUUCCUUUACCAGGUUUAUGGUUACUUUCGGACCUUCCAAACCUUUCACCUUUAUUUUUGGUUCGUGGCUCCCUUCCACACCUUUCUUUCUUCCAACUCUUCCUCUGCAAUCCCUUCCAAACCUUUUAGAUCUCCUUCUUCUUAUUAUCUUCUUUGUCCGCAAGUCGAAAGGCUUGCUCAUAUUAUUUUUUUUCAGUUAAAAGGUUCUUCGAUGUUUAGAAUUUUUUCAUUUGACGAACACAAAGCAACAAAAUAGUUCUUGGAUGAAAAGGCUGAAAAGUGGGAAGUUAGAUUUGGGUGUUAGGAGGGACAUACUUGAUUGGAUUUGGAAGGAGCAUACUAUUUGUUAUUGGAUGUUAGGAGGGACAUACUUGAUUGGAUUUGGAAGGUUCUUCGAUGUUUAGGGUUUUUCCAUUUGACGAACACAAAGCAACAAAGUAGUUCUUGGAUGAAAAGGCUGAAAAGUGGAAAGUUGGAUUUGGGUGUCAGGAGGGACAUACUUUAUUGGAUUUGGAAGGAGCAUACUAUUUGUUAUUGGAUGUUAGGAGGGACAUUCUUGAUUGGAUUUGGAAGUCAACAAGCAGGUUAUCUUACAACUUUAGUUCCAUAUUGCAUUCAAUAAGCAGGUUGCAGUAGAGGAGAUCAAGAAGUUUGAGAUUUUCACAAAGAUUGUUGAAGAUUUAAGAGGACAGAAAAUCAUAAAGCUUUCCCAUACUUAAAGAUAUUAUUCUUUCUCCUCAAAGAGUAAUUGUUGUUUUAGGACAAUUCAUUUGUUCUGUUUCUGUUUCUGGUGGAAUUUUAUGAUUUUCAGUUAUAAUUUAUUCAUGAAAAGUUGUAUUUAUGUUGUAAAUAAAUAUUGGUAAAGUGUAUUACUUUGGUUUGUGUAGGAAGCUAAAACUUAUUAUGUUCAGACAAAAUUACACCACUGAAAUGUAUUUAUUAUUAUUAUCUUGUGAGAUGAA